UCCACGCCGUAAACGAUGAGAACUAAGUGUUGGGGUUACCCAGUGCUGAAGCUAACGCAUUAAGUUCUCCGCCUGGGGAGUACGACCGCAAGGUUGAAACUCAAAGGAAUUGACGGGUCUCCGCACAAGCGGUGGAGCAUGUUGUUUAAUUCGAAGAUACGCGAAGAACCUUACCAGGUCUUGACAUCUUCUUGAUCGCACUAGAGAUAGUGUUUCCCUUCGGGGCAAGAAUGACAGGUGGUGCAUGGUUGUCGUCAGCUCGUGUCGUGAGAUGUUGGGUUAAGUCCCGCAACGAGCGCAACCCCUAUUAUUAGUUGCUAACAUUAAGUUGAGGACUCUAAUGAGACUGCCAGUGAUAAACUGGAGGAAGGUGGGGAUGACGUCAAAUCAUCAUGCCCCUUAUGACCUGGGCUACAAACGUGCUACAAUGGACGGUACAACGAGUCGCCAACCCGCGAGGGGGAGCUAAUCUUUUAAAACCGUUC
rnacentral:rRNA from 1 species